GACGAACGCUGGUGGCGUGCUUAACACAUGCAAGUCGAACGGAAAGGCCCUGCUUUUGUGGGGUGCUCGAGUGGCGAACGGGUGAGUAACACGUGAGUAACCUGCCCUUGACUUUGGGAUAACUUCAGGAAACUGGGGCUAAUACCGGAUAGGAGCUCCUGCUGCAUGGUGGGGGUUGGAAAGUUUCGGCGGUUGGGGAUGGACUCGCGGCUUAUCAGCUUGUUGGUGGGGUAGUGGCUUACCAAGGCUUUGACGGGUAGCCGGCCUGAGAGGGUGACCGGCCACAUUGGGACUGAGAUACGGCCCAGACUCCUACGGGAGGCAGCAGUGGGGAAUAUUGCACAAUGGGCGGAAGCCUGAUGCAGCAACGCCGCGUGCGGGAUGACGGCCUUCGGGUUGUAAACCGCUUUCGCCCGUGACGAAGCGUGAGUGACGGUAAUGGGUAAAGAAGCACCGGCUAACUACGUGCCAGCAGCCGCGGUGAUACGUAGGGUGCGAGCGUUGUCCGGAUUUAUUGGGCGUAAAGGGCUCGUAGGUGGUUGAUCGCGUCGGAAGUGUAAUCUUGGGGCUUAACCCUGAGCGUGCUUUCGAUACGGGUUGACUUGAGGAAGGUAGGGGAGAAUGGAAUUCCUGGUGGAGCGGUGGAAUGCGCAGAUAUCAGGAGGAACACCAGUGGCGAAGGCGGUUCUCUGGGCCUUUCCUGACGCUGAGGAGCGAAAGCGUGGGGAGCGAACAGGCUUAGAUACCCUGGUAGUCCACGCUGUAAACGGUGGGUACUAGGUGUGGGGUCCAUUCCACGGGUUCCGUGCCGUAGCUAACGCUUUAAGUACCCCGCCUGGGGAGUACGGCCGCAAGGCUAAAACUCAAAGGAAUUGACGGGGCCCCGCACAAGCGGCGGAGCAUGCGGAUUAAUUCGAUGCAACGCGUAGAACCUUACCUGGGUUUGACAUGGAUCGGGAGUGCUCAGAGAUGGGUGUGCCUCUUUUGGGGUCGGUUCACAGGUGGUGCAUGGCUGUCGUCAGCUCGUGUCGUGAGAUGUUGGGUUAAGUCCCGCAACGAGCGCAACCCUUGUUCACUGUUGCCAGCACGUUAUGGUGGGGACUCAGUGGAGACCGCCGGGGUCAACUCGGAGGAAGGUGGGGAUGACGUCAAGUCAUCAUGCCCCUUAUGUCCAGGGCUUCACGCAUGCUACAAUGGCUGGUACAGAGAGUGGCGAGCCUGUGAGGGUGAGCGAAUCUCGGAAAGCCGGUCUCAGUUCGGAUUGGGGUCUGCAACUCGACCUCAUGAAGUCGGAGUCGCUAGUAAUCGCAGAUCAGCAACGCUGCGGUGAAUACGUUCCCGGGGCU
rnacentral:rRNA from 1 species